rnacentral:rRNA from 1 species
CCUACGGGAGGCAGCAGUGAGGAAUAUUGGUCAAUGGGCGGGAGCCUGAACCAGCCAAGUCGCGUGAGGGAAGACGGUCCUAUGGAUUGUAAACCUCUUUAGGCGGGGAGCAAUGCCGGGCACGUGUGCCCGGAGGGAGAGUACCCGCAGAAUAAGCAUCGGCUAACUCCGUGCCAGCAGCCGCGGUAAUACGGAGGAUGCGAGCGUUAUCCGGAUUUAUUGGGUUUAAAGGGUGCGUAGGCGGAUUUUUAAGUCAGCGGUAAAAUGUCCGGGCUCAACCCGGGCCGGCCGUUGAAACUGGGGAUGUUGAGUGGGCGAGAAGUAUGCGGAAUGCGUGGUGUAGCGGUGAAAGGCAUAGAUAUCACGCAGAACUCCGAUUGAGAAGGCAGCAUACCGGCGCGCAACUGACGCUCAUGCACGAAAGCGUGGGUAUCGAACAGGAUUAGAUACCCCUGUAGUC